AAGAUUAGUGAGACAGACUGAAUUCUGAACAUGUAUCAUCUGUUCCAUGUGAGAGAAAUCGCAUGUGGAUAUCAUCUUGAAAUAAUCACAGCUGGGGGGACGAGGUUGGUAGCUGAGGGUGAUGUGCAGAACGGGAGGAAGGAGGUGUGAGGCUUGGAACUCUCCUUGUGAAGUGCUCAGGGACAGCGGUGAGGAGCAUGGCAGGUGUCCAACCUGACCUCCUCGGCAACAGCAACAAGGGUGGCCGCGGCGACAAGGGAGGAGACGACAACCAGCAGAGCAAUGAGAUCGCUAAGUCUCUGAUCCCGUCACUUCCUGCUCGAUUCGCUUGGCUCCUGUGCUGAUUUCUCUUUGGUUUCCCAGGUUUGUUGUGGUUGCAGGAUGGCGCAGAGGAAUUGGGAAGCGGACUAUGGACAUGAUGCGUGAUGUGCACAUCCAUGACUAUUUUCUCAAGUGAAACAUCCAAACGGCCAACCUGUUCAUGGUGGAGGGGGCCAUGCCUGCUAAGUCCUCCAAUUCAUGCUCAGGCUGGCGGCUGGGGCGAGCUGACCACGAUGCUCUGCGAAGGCGAGUUCUCCAUGGAAUUCACACAACAUUCCAGCGUUCUCGUUGGCAGGUCUCUGCUCUUCUCCAUGUCCACGGGGACAGUGCGUCGAUCGUGGAGCAUGACCUGGCAAGUCGCGACCUGACUCUGCUCGGCCAACCAGACAAGCACUAUAAGCACAGAUGCUAUCAAGGAUGGGGAUUUUUGUCAACGCCUUUGAAUGCGUCAGCCACGACCUCAA